UGCAGCUCUACUGGAAUCAACAUUUAUGUGUCAGUUGGACCAGUACACUCCAAAGCUUCUGGAGCUGUUCAAUGCGAAGGGUGGAGCAGUCCGUCAGCGCAUCCAGAAUUUGUUGAUGGAACUGAUACAGGAUCAAGUGCCUCUGUGGUGAAGAAGAGAGACGUGACUCUGAGAUGCCUCAUUGAGUACAUGGGAGAGAGUGGACAGGAACUCAUUUCUGACUUCAGUGGUGUAGCAGAGUCGAAUGUGCAUGAGGACCUCAUGCACAGCAUGAAGAUCUAUGCUUGUUGUGAGCCAGACACAGUACGCAUCGUCAUCGAGGGAAUCCCUGUCCUUAAGGAUCUUGGCAGUGUAGCGAGGGCAUGCAGCCUUCUCCUCGGGUUAAUGUAUGCCCUUAAUCUUGAGUAUCCACCCAAACUUGCUAAAACCUUUGAGGUUUUCAAAGACUAUUUGUAGGACUGGAUACACUGCACCCAAAACCAACCUCGAGGUUCAUGAGCCUCAAAAACAAGCUGCUGGCCUAUGCAGUCUAACUGUCAGACUUGAGCUCACAAAUGGCUUUUUUGAUGUGUUAAUUGUUUUUAGAGUUAAACUGUUUUGAUAUAUACACAGUAAAAGACCAAGGUGCCAGCUCCCCCCGAUACAUACCAGCGCCAUCCGACCAGCUUUGCAGGAGCCCGGGCACCGAGAUGCCAGCUCACCCCGACACAUACCAGCAUCAGCAGCGACCCGCUUUGCAGGAGCCCCGGGCAACGGGAUGCCAGCAUCCCCUGGUACACACCAGUGCCAUCCAACCAUCCCUGUAGGAGCCCUGGGCACCAAGAUGCCAGCUGCCCUUGAUACUCAGCUCAACUCUGAUCUAAUCUGUGUUCAGGUCUGGAGUGACCCAGCACUUGGUACUUUGGUCAUUAUUGUGGUGAUGUUAAUUGUUGAUGAUGAUAACGGAGAGUCUUAAA